rnacentral:lncRNA from 1 species
CCAGACUCUCCACUAGCAGGCAGUGGUUUCUAACAAGGACGCCUGUGGUUCUCAGAUUAAUACAGGGAUUGGCUGAAUGAAGUCUAGCUGCGGACAUAACCUCAUCCGGAGAUUCUGGACUGACAGUGUUUUGUAGUCCAAGCAGAGACACAGGUGCCAGCACUAUACAUCUUUACCUCUGUCCAAUUUUGUAUUUUAUAAGUCUGGAUGGAUAGACAGUCUUCUUUGUUUCUGAAACAUUACUUUUUAAAAAAUUUAUUUAUUUAAUAGUAUUAGAGAAUCAGAAUAGGACCUUGUAUGCCAUAUAUGUACUGAUUUUAGGACAGUAUUUAGGUUGCCUGGGAUGAUAUUGAACUCAGUUGCUAGUGCAGGAAAUCCUUGAACUUGGAAUCUACCCUUUGCCUCCCAAGUUGCUGGCCUUACAGGCCUACUUCACAGGGACUGCCUCUCUUCCAAAUAAGUUUUGAUUGGCUCCAUGAAUAAUCAAAUCGCCUUCAAAAUUCAAGUUUUUUAAUUGAAAUGCCUUUUUUCCUUCAUUUCCUUAGACCCCUAA